AUUCGGUUCGAGCUCUAGUCCACGAUACCUGUUUAAAGUGUAUCAACGUGCUUGUCACGUGAAGUCAUUGCCUUCUCACUUCUCAGAGUACGAAACCUCUAUCGUUAGCGUCCGCUACAAGCGACUUCUAUUUCGAUCGGAGAUUUGCUUCCUCAACGUUUGUUUCUUUCUUCCCUGUACUUCCUUUGUUACCAAACAUUGGAUGAGAAAAAGAAAACCCUAGAGAACUGUGAUUUGUUCGAUUGAAGGAAGAAUUUCAGUUAGCGCAAGUGUUUCGCCAAUUGAAGUUCUCCUCUCGACUCCUUUAAUUCGACCAAUCUCAGUUGUCUAAGUUUUCGUUUCCGAUUUUUCGGCUUGAUUCUUCAAUCUGUUCCAAAGCGGAAAAAGUCCAACACGAAGUGAGAAAAUGGACGCCAUAGAUACAGAGUUCGAUCCGGCCUAGGAGAGCUUUCGCCUCGUCAAGAAGUGCCACAAGCUGAUCGCAAAGGGUAGAAUUCGCGAAGGUGACAUUUCUCACGGAUUUAGGAUUCGUGGUGAUGGGAUUCAUCGGGUUCUUAAUGAAGCUUAUCUUCAUCCCUGUCAACAUCCUCGUUGGAUCUGGCUAAUGAAGCAGAUGUGUGCAUCAAUCUCUCAUUGUAAAUAUGAGUUGCUUCUCAAACAAUGACCUCACAAUUUCAUGAAGCGGUAAGGGCCACACGAGGAGUGCAAUGCAAGCUUGGAAUGGUCAGCGAGGUUUGAUAUGCAUGGUUUAUGGAAGACGCAGAAUCCACGGCAUCCAGUGUGGGGGAAUGGCAUUGCGAUCGGCUACUAAGGGGACUCAGCCAGCCGGCCCAGCCUCAGCUAAUCAUAAAGUUUGUCUUUGGUGUCUACACAGAGAAGUGAUGGCAUAAUUCCAAGUGCCAUAGCAAGAGGUUACAGGAACUUGAUCUUUGGUCCAGAUCCCAUCAACCAGGUCAGGUUGGAACGGGCUAAAUAACAUUAGGGACUUUUGAGACAAUGGCUUUUAAUUGCCGUCACGCAGUUAUGCUUAUUGAAAAGAAGAAAAAGAUCAAAGGUAAAAUUUAGGAAUUUAGAAACAGAAAGUAAUAUUAUAAGAAAACGGGGGUCAGCCAAUUAAGAUA